rnacentral:rRNA from 1 species
CGAACGCUGGCGGCGUGCUUAACACAUGCAAGUCGAGCGGAAAGGCCCCUUUCGGGGGGUACUCGAGCGGCGAACGGGUGAGUAACACGUGAGCAACCUGCCCCUGGCUUUGGGAUAAGCCUGGGAAACUGGGUCUAAUACCGGAUGUGACCUUCUGCCGCAUGGUGGGGGGUGGAAAGUUUCUCGGCUGGGGAUGGGCUCGCGGCCUAUCAGCUUGUUGGUGGGGUGAUGGCCUACCAAGGCGACGACGGGUAGCCGACCUGAGAGGGUGAUCGGCCACACUGGGACUGAGACACGGCCCAGACUCCUACGGGAGGCAGCAGUAGGGAAUCUUCGGCAAUGGGCGAAAGCCUGACCGAGCAACGCCGCGUGAGCGAUGAAGGCCUUCGGGUCGUAAAGCUCUGUUGUUAAGGAAGAACAAGUACGAGAGUAACUGCUCGUACCUUGACGGUACUUAACAAGAAAGCCACGGCUAACUACGUGCCAGCAGCCGCGGUAAUACGUAGGUGGCGAGCGUUAUCCGGAAUUAUUGGGCGUAAAGCGCGCGCAGGCGGUUUCUUAAGUCUGAUGUGAGAGCCCACGGCUCAACCGUGGAGGGUCAUUGGAAACUGGGAAACUUGAGUGCAGAAGAGGAAAGCGGAAUUCCACGUGUAGCGGUGAAAUGCGUAGAGAUGUGGAGGAACACCAGUGGC